rnacentral:rRNA from 1 species
GGGUUGUGAGGUUAAGCGAACAAGCGUACACGGUGGAUGCCCUGGCAGUCAGAGGCGAUGAAGGACGUGCUAAUCUGCGAAAAGCGCCGGUAAGGUGAUAUGAACCGUUAUAACCGGCGAUGUCCGAAUGGGGAAACCCGGUGCACUUCGGUGCAUCAUCGUUAGCUGAAUACAUAGGCUAACGAGGCGAACCGGGGGAACUGAAACAUCUAAGUACCCCGAGGAAAAGAAAUCAACCGAGAUUCCCCCAGUAGCGGCGAGCGAACGGGGAACAGCCCAGAGCCUGAAUCAGCUUGUGUGUCAGUGGAACGGUCUGGAAAGGCCGGCGAUACAGGGUGACAGCCCCGUACACGAAGGCACACAGGCUGUGAGCUCGAUGAGUAGGGCGGGACACGUGAUAUCCUGUCUGAAGAUGGGGGGACCAUCCUCCAAGGCUAAAUACUCCUGACUGACCGAUAGUGAACCAGUACCGUGAGGGAAAGGCGAAAAGAACCCCGGCGAGGGGAGUGAAACAGAACCUGAAACCGUGUACGUACAAGCAGUGGGAGCCUUCGUAAGAGGGUGACUGCGUACCUUUUGUAUAAUGGGUCAGCGACUUAUAUUCUGUAGCAAGGUUAACCGUAUAGGGGAGCCGAAGGGAAACCGAGUCUUAAUUGGGCGUUAAGUUGCAGGGUAUAGACCCGAAACCCGGUGAUCUAGCCAUGGGCAGGUUGAAGGUUGGGUAACACUAACUGGAGGACCGAACCGACUAAUGUUGAAAAAUUAGCGGAUGACCUGUGGCUGGGGGUGAAAGGCCAAUCAAACCGGGAGAUAGCUGGUUCUCCCCGAAAGCUAUUUAGGUAGCGCCUCGUGAACUCAUCUCCGGGGGUAGAGCACUGUUUCGGCUAGGGGGCCAUCCCGGCUUACCAACCCGAUGCAAACUGCGAAUACCGGAGAAUGUUAUCACGGGAGACACACGGCGGGUGCUAACGUCCGUCGUGAAGAGGGAAACAACCCAGACCGCCAGCUAAGGUCCCAAAGUCAUGGUUAAGUGGGAAACGAUGUGGGAAGGCCCAGACAGCCAGGAUGUUGGCUUAGAAGCAGCCAUCAUUUAAAGAAAGCGUAAUAGCUCACUGGUCGAGUCGGCCUGCGCGGAAGAUGUAACGGGGCUAAACCAUGCACCGAAGCUGCGGCAGCGACACGUAUGUGUUGUUGGGUAGGGGAGCGUUCUGUAAGCCUGUGAAGGUGUGCUGUGAGGCAUGCUGGAGGUAUCAGAAGUGCGAAUGCUGACAUAAGUAACGAUAAAGCGGGUGAAAAGCCCGCUCGCCGGAAGACCAAGGGUUCCUGUCCAACGUUAAUCGGGGCAGGGUGAGUCGACCCCUAAGGCGAGGCCGAAAGGCGUAGUCGAUGGGAAACAGGUUAAUAUUCCUGUACUUGGUGUUACUGCGAAGGGGGGACGGAGAAGGCUAUGUCAGCCGGGCGACGGUCGUCCCGGUUUAAGCGUGUAGGCUGACUUUCCAGGCAAAUCCGGAAGGUUAAGGCUGAGGCGUGAUGACGAGGCACCACGGUGCUGAAGUGACAAAUGCCCUGCUUCCAGGAAAAGCCUCUAAGCAUCAGGUAACAUCAAAUCGUACCCCAAACCGACACAGGUGGUCAGGUAGAGAAUACCAAGGCGCUUGAGAGAACUCGGGUGAAGGAACUAGGCAAAAUGGUGCCGUAACUUCGGGAGAAGGCACGCUGACAUGUAGGUGAAGCCCCUGCGGGUGGAGCUGAAGUCAGUCGAAGAUACCAGCUGGCUGCAACUGUUUAUUAAAAACACAGCACUGUGCAAACACGAAAGUGGACGUAUACGGUGUGACGCCUGCCCGGUGCCGGAAGGUUAAUUGAUGGGGUUAUCGCAAGAGAAGCUCCUGAUCGAAGCCCCGGUAAACGGCGGCCGUAACUAUAACGGUCCUAAGGUAGCGAAAUUCCUUGUCGGGUAAGUUCCGACCUGCACGAAUGGCGUAAUGAUGGCCAGGCUGUCUCCACCCGAGACUCAGUGAAAUUGAACUCGCUGUGAAGAUGCAGUGUACCCGCGGCAAGACGGAAAGACCCCGUGAACCUUUACUACAGCUUGACACUGAACAUUGAGCCUUGAUGUGUAGGAUAGGUGGGAGGCUUUGAAGCGUGGACGCCAGUCUGCGUGGAGCCAACCUUGAAAUACCACCCUUUAAUGUUUGAUGUUCUAACCUGGCGCCGUGAUCCGGCGUGGGGACAGUGUCUGGUGGGUAGUUUGACUGGGGCGGUCUCCUCCCAAAGUGUAACGGAGGAGCACGAAGGUCAGCUAAUCCUGGUCGGACAUCAGGAGGUUAGUGCAAUGGCAUAAGCUGGCUUGACUGCGAGAGUGACGGCUCGAGCAGGUGCGAAAGCAGGUCAUAGUGAUCCGGUGGUUCUGUAUGGAAGGGCCAUCGCUCAACGGAUAAAAGGUACUCCGGGGAUAACAGGCUGAUACCGCCCAAGAGUUCAUAUCGACGGCGGUGUUUGGCACCUCGAUGUCGGCUCAUCACAUCCUGGGGCUGAAGUAGGUCCCAAGGGUAUGGCUGUUCGCCAUUUAAAGUGGUACGCGAGCUGGGUUUAGAACGUCGUGAGACAGUUCGGUCCCUAUCUGCCGUGGGCGCUGGAGAAUUGAGGGGGGCUGCUCCCAGUACGAGAGGACCGGAGUGGACGCAUCACUGGUGUUCGGGUUGUCAUGCCAAUGGCACUGCCCGGUAGCUAAAUGCGGAAGAGAUAAGUGCUGAAAGCAUCUAAGCACGAAACUUGCCCCGAGAUGAGUUCUCCCUGAGACUUUAAGUCUCCUGAAGGAACGUUGAAGACGACGACGUUGAUAGGCCGGGUGUGUAAGCGCAGCGAUGCGUUGAGCUAACCGGUACUAAUGAACCGUGAGGCUUAACCUUACAACGCCAAAGAAGU